AUUGAACGCUGGCGGCAUGCUUUACACAUGCAAGUCGAACGGUAACAGGCCGCAAGGUGCUGACGAGUGGCGAACGGGUGAGUAAUGCAUCGGAACGUGCCCAGUCGUGGGGGAUAACUACUCGAAAGAGUAGCUAAUACCGCAUACGAUCUAUGGAUGAAAGCGGGGGACCGUAAGGCCUCGCGCGAUUGGAGCGGCCGAUGUCAGAUUAGGUAGUUGGUGGGGUAAAGGCUCACCAAGCCAACGAUCUGUAGCUGGUCUGAGAGGACGACCAGCCACACUGGGACUGAGACACGGCCCAGACUCCUACGGGAGGCAGCAGUGGGGAAUUUUGGACAAAGGGCGCAAGCCUGAUCCAGCAAUGCCGCGUGCAGGAAGAAGGCCUUCGGGUUGUAAACUGCUUUUGUACGGAUCGAAACGGCUCUGGUUAAUACCCGGGGCUAAUGACGGUACCGUAAGAAUAAGCACCGGCUAACUACGUG
rnacentral:rRNA from 1 species